rnacentral:misc_RNA from 1 species
UUCAUCAAGAUCGCUUUUUGUGCUCUAGUUGAAGCUAAUUGUUCAAAUUUCAUCUUGGAUGGUAUUUCUAUUUCAUGCGAAGGCCGCUUCGUAACUGAGUCUGGAGAGUGCCUCGAAAUGUAUCCUAAUUGCCCAUUGAAUCUCAUCCCCAAAAUACAUUAUAUCUCCCUCUGGUAUUGCGCCAUUCGUUUCAAUUCCAAGAAAAUCCGUAUUAGAGAGGCCUCAUUUCAAUUCUUCAUACCUGGGGGUGAAGUCCACAAGUGUGGAGUCCAUCUAAUGUUUGAUCAUAACUUGGAACAUGAUAAUGUUGAUGAUGAUAGCAAAAGAAUGUCAUUACCGGUGUUGGAUUAUCGUCAGGCCAUGAAGCAAGGGUUGUUCUUUACUCAGUUUCUUGUUGCUGAGGAUGAUCCUGAACAAUAUCCCCUUCAAAGAUUGAAAGAGAGGCAUGAGUUUAAAGUUGUUGAUUUAAAUUUCUCACUAUCUUUCUUGUUCACCUUAGUUAUCUGCCUGGCCGCUACUUCAGAUCAAACCAAAGCCCAACCGACACGAAUGAUCUUUACUUUGAUGCUCAUAUACGUGUGUAUGAGGCUGCUUUCCUUCAACUCUUCUCUAUCUCUUCAUGGAAUGCCCAACUAAACUUGUUUCUGUUAAUUAUUGUCUUUAUUUUUGUUUAAAUUGAGAUAUAUGAAAUUAUAAAUUACAACGCUAUUAAACUAACUCUGUUAUUGCUAGAUGUAUAUUUUUAAUAUAGAGUACAGAUUUUCCAAA